UACGGAGGGUGCGAGCGUUGUCCGGAAUCACUGGGCGUAAAGGGCGCGUAGGCGGCGAGGAUAGUCAACGGUGAAAUCCUGGGGCUCAACCCCAGAACUGCAUUGGAUACUGCCUUGCUAGAGUACUGGAGAGGGAACUGGAAUUUACGGUGUAGCAGUGAAAUGCGUAGAGAUCGUAAGGAAGGCCAGUGGCGAAGGCGAGUUCCUGGACAGUUACUGACGCUGAGGCACGAAGGCCAGGGGAGCAAACGGG
rnacentral:rRNA from 1 species